UACGAAGGGGGCUAGCGUUGCUCGGAAUUACUGGGCGUAAAGGGCGCGUAGGCGGACAGUUUAGUCAGAGGUAAAAGCCCAGGGCUCAACCUUGGAACUGCCUUUGAUACUGGCUGUCUUGAGUACGGGAGAGGUGUGUGGAACUCCGAGUGUAGAGGUGAAAUUCGUAGAUAUUCGGAAGAACACCAGUGGCGAAGGCGACACACUGGCCCGUUACUGACGCUGAGGCGCGAAAGCGUGGGGAGCAAACAGG
rnacentral:rRNA from 1 species